CUCGUUAGCCGUGGUAGGCAGUUCAUCUAGGAGAGCAAACUCCGAAUAAUAUACCCGGGCAGGUGAGGCUCGUUAGCCGUGGUAGGCAAUUCGCCUAGGAGAGCAAACUCCGAACAAUAAACCCGGGCAGGUGGAGGUCGUUAGCGUGAGCAGUUCACCUAGGAGAGCAAACUCCGAUUACAAACCCGGUCAGGUGGAGGUCGUUAGCGUGAGCAGUUCACCUAGGAGAAGGAAAACUUUGACCACAAACCCGGGCAGGUGGAGGUCGUUAGCCGUGGUAGGCAAUCUGCCUAGGAGAGGGACAACUCCGAACAACAAACACGGGCAGGUGGAGCUCGUAGCCGUGGUAGGCAAUUCGCCUAGGAGAGGGACAACUCCGAUUACAAACCCGGG